rnacentral:rRNA from 1 species
UCAUUGGGUUUAAAGGGUCCGUAGGUGGAUAAUUAAGUCAGAGGUGAAAUCUUGCAGCUCAACUGUAAAAUUGCCUUUGAUACUGGUUAUCUUGAGUUAUUAUGAAGUAGUUAGAAUAUGUAGUGUAGCGGUGAAAUGCAUAGAUAUUACAUAGAAUACCAAUUGCGAAGGCAGAUUACUAAUAAUCAACUGACACUGAUGGACGAAAGCGUGGGUAGCGAACAGGAUUAGAUACCCUGGUAGUCCACGCCGUAAACGAUGGUUACUAGCUGUUUGGACCUUGUGUCUGAGUGGCUAAGCGAAAGUGAUAAGUAACCCACCUGGGGAGUACGUUCGCAAGAAUGAAACUCAAAGGAAUUGACGGGGGCCCGCACAAGCGGUGGAGCAUGUGGUUUAAUUCGAUGCAACGCGAAGAACCUUACCUACUCUUGACAUACUAGAAACUUUUCAGAGAUGAAUUGGUGCCUUCGGGAAUCUAGAUACAGGUGCUGCAUGGCU